ACGAACGCUGGCGGCGUGCCUAAUACAUGCAAGUCGAACGGUCUUUCUAUGGAAGCUUGCUUCCACUGAGAAGAUAGUGGCGAACGGGUGAGUAACACGUGGGUAACCUGCCCAUAAGAGGGGGAUAACAUCCGGAAGCGGGUGCUAAUACCGCAUAGUUUUCUUGAUCGCAUGAUUGAGAAAGGAAAGACGGCCUUUGUGCUGUCGCCUAUGGAUGGACCCGCGGCGUAUUAGUUAGUUGGUGAGGUAACGGCUCACCAAGACGAUGAUACGUAGCCGACCUGAGAGGGUGAUCGGCCACAUUGGGACUGAGACACGGCCCAAACUCCUACGGGAGGCAGCAGUAGGGAAUCUUCCGCAAUGGACGAAAGUCUGACGGAGCAACGCCGCGUGAGUGAAAGAAGGUUUUCGGAUCGUAAAACUCUGUUGUCAGAGAAGAACAAGUUGGAGAGUAACUGCUCCAGCCUUGACGGUAUCUGACCAGAAAGCCACGGCUAACUACGUGCCAGCCGCCGC
rnacentral:rRNA from 1 species